rnacentral:lncRNA from 11 species
UAACUUUGCCUUUAAUAACUCUUUAUUAAUAAUUUUGCCCUCUCCUUCAUUUGGCACAGAAUUUAAGAGACUCAAAAGCCAGUCCUUUGGUGGAGAUGCCUUGCUGGGCAGUCAGGAACAGGAAACGUUUUGCUACUGAUUGCAGUGGAUUGUGAUUCGGCAUUGAAGCAUGCAAAAACCAGGAGCCCACCUUUUCCCAAGAAGGAAGGAAGGAAGGAAUGAACAAAGCAAG